CCCUUAGAUGUUCUGGGCCGCACGCGCGCUACAAUGGCAGACUCAGCGAGUUACCUCUGUCGAAAGGCACAGGGAAUCUUUACAGUAUCUGCCGUGAUGGGGAUAGACCCCUGUAAUUUUUGGUCUUCAACGAGGAAUUCCUAGUAAACGCAAGUCAUUAACUUGCAUUGAUUACGUCCCUGCCCUUUGUACACACCGCCCGUCGCACCUACCGAUUGAAUGGUCCGGUGAAGUCCUCGGACCCAGUUGAACCUCGAGUUGAACAGGGAAAGUUGACUAAAUCUUACCAUUUAGAGGAAGGUGAAGUCGUAACA
rnacentral:rRNA from 1 species